rnacentral:rRNA from 1 species
GAUGAGCGCUGGCGGCGUGCCUAAUACAUGCAAGUCGAGCGAACGGACGAGAAGCUUGCUUCUCUGAUGUUAGCGGCGGACGGGUGAGUAACACGUGGAUAACCUACCUAUAAGACUGGGAUAACUUCGGGAAACCGGAGCUAAUACCGGAUAAUAUUUUGAACCGCAUGGUUCAAAAGUGAAAGACGGUCUUGCUGUCACUUAUAGAUGGAUCCGCGCUGCAUUAGCUAGUUGGUAAGGUAACGGCUUACCAAGGCAACGAUGCAUAGCCGACCUGAGAGGGUGAUCGGCCACACUGGAACUGAGACACGGUCCAGACUCCUACGGGAGGCAGCAGUAGGGAAUCUUCCGCAAUGGGCGAAAGCCUGACGGAGCAACGCCGCGUGAGUGAUGAAGGUCUUCGGAUCGUAAAACUCUGUUAUUAGGGAAGAACAUAUGUGUAAGUAACUGUGCACAUCUUGGCGGUACCUAAUCAGAAAGCCACGGCUAACUACGUG